GACGAACGCUGGCGGCGUGCUUAACACAUGCAAGUCGAACGGAAAGGCCCUGCUUUUGUGGGGUGCUCGAGUGGCGAACGGGUGAGUAACACGUGAGUAACCUGCCCUUGACUUUGGGAUAACUUCAGGAAACUGGGGCUAAUACCGGAUAGGAGCUCCUGCUGCAUGGUGGGGGUUGGAAAGUUUCGGCGGUUGGGGAUGGACUCGCGGCUUAUCAGCUUGUUGGUGGGGUAGUGGCUUACCAAGGCUUUGACGGGUAGCCGGCCUGAGACGGUGACCGGCCACAUUGGGACUGAGAUACGGCCCAGACUCCUACGGGAGGCAGCAGUGGGGAAUAUUGCACAAUGGGCGGAAGCCUGAUGCAGCAACGCCGCGUGCGGGAUGACGGCCUUCGGGUGGUAAACCGCUUUCGCCUGUGACGAAGCGUGAGUGACGGUAAUGGGUAAAGAAGCACCGGCUAACUACGU
rnacentral:rRNA from 1 species